UGGCUCGGGAUGAACGCUAGCGACAGGCCUAACACAUGCAAGUCGAGGGGCAUCGGGGCGAGGAGCAAUCCUUGCCGCCGGCGACCGGCGCACGGGUGAGUAACGCGUAUGCGACCUGCCCGUUGCAGGGGGAUAAUCGGGAGAAAUCCCGUCUAAUACCGCGUAAUGCCGCGGGGCUGCAUGGCCCUGCGGCCAAAGGAAGCGAUUCCGGCAACGGAUGGGCAUGCGUGACAUUAGCUAGUUGGCGGGGCAACGGCCCACCAAGGCGACGAUGUCUAGGGGUUCUGAGAGGAAGGUCCCCCACACUGGUACUGAAACACGGACCAGACUCCUACGGGAGGCAGCAGUGAGGAAUAUUGGUCAAUGGGCGCGAGCCUGAACCAGCCAAGUCGCGUGAGGGAUGACGGCCCUACGGGUUGUAAACCUCUUUUGUCGGGGAGCAAAUUCCGCCACGUGUGGCGGAGUCGAGAGUACCCGAAGAAAAAGCAUCGGCUAACUCCGUGCCAGCAGCCGCGGUAAUACGGAGGAUGCGAGCGUUAUCCGGAUUUAUUGGGUUUAAAGGGUGCGUAGGCGGACUGUCAAGUCAGCGGCAAAAUACGGGGGCUCAACCUCCGCCCGCCGUUGAAACUGACGGUCUUGAGUGGGCGAGAAGUAUGCGGAAUGCGUGGUGUAGCGGUGAAAUGCAUAGAUAUCACGCAGAACUCCGAUUGCGAAGGCAGCAUACCGGCGCCCAACUGACGCUGAAGCACGAAAGCGUGGGUAUCGAACAGGAUUAGAUACCCUGGUAGUCCACGCAGUAAACGAUGAAUACUAGCUGUCCGGGGCGAAUGAGCCCUGGGUGGCACAGCGAAAGCGUUAAGUAUUCCACCUGGGGAGUACGCCGGCAACGGUGAAACUCAAAGGAAUUGACGGGGGCCCGCACAAGCGGAGGAACAUGUGGUUUAAUUCGAUGAUACGCGAGGAACCUUACCCGGGCUCAAACGACACAGGAACGUACCUGAAAGGGUUCGGCUCUACGGAGCCUGUGUCGAGGUGCUGCAUGGUUGUCGUCAGCUCGUGCCGUGAGGUGUCGGCUUAAGUGCCAUAACGAGCGCAACCCCCAUCGACAGUUGCUAACAGGUCAGGCUGAGGACUCUGUCGAGACUGCCGGCGCAAGCUGCGAGGAAGGCGGGGAUGACGUCAAAUCAGCACGGCCCUUACGUCCGGGGCGACACACGUGUUACAAUGGCAGGUACAGCGGGAAGCCACCUGGCGACAGGGAGCGGAACCCGAAAGCCUGUCUCAGUUCGGAUUGGAGUCUGCAACCCGACUCCAUGAAGCUGGAUUCGCUAGUAAUCGCGCAUCAGCCACGGCGCGGUGAAUACGUUCCCGGGCCUUGUACACACCGCCCGUCAAGCCAUGGAAGCCGGGGGUGCCUGAAGUGCGCUGCCGCGAGGAGCGCCCUAGGGUAAAACCGGUGACUGGGGCUAAGUCGUAACAAGGUAGCCG
rnacentral:rRNA from 1 species